GACGAACGCUGGCGGCGUGCUUAACACAUGCAAGUCGAACGAUGAAGCCCUUUCGGGGUGGAUUAGUGGCGAACGGGUGAGUAACACGUGGGUGACCUGCCCUCAGCUCUGGGAUAAAGCCUGGGAAGCCGGGUCUAAUACUGGAUAUGACUCCAUGACGCAUGUUGUGGGGUGGAAAGCCUUGUGCGGCUGAGGAUGGGCCCGCGGCCUAUCAGCUUGNGGUGGGGUGAUGGCCUACCAAGGCGACGACGGGUAGCCGGCCUGAGAGGGCGACCGGCCACACUGGGACUGAGACACGGCCCAGACUCCUACGGGAGGCAGCAGUGGGAAUCUUGCGCAAUGGGCGAAAGCCUGACGCAGCGACGCCGCGUGGGGA
rnacentral:rRNA from 1 species